AAGUAUGAAGCAAUUUAUUGCAAUUAGUUUCGACCUAAUAGUUAGAUAUAUUAUCCUUACUUU
rnacentral:tRNA from 1 species